rnacentral:rRNA from 1 species
UAGGGAAUAUUGCGCAAUGGACGAAAGUCUGACGCAGCAACUCCGCGUGAGGGAUGACGGCCUUAGGGUUGUAAACCUCUGUUGAGUGGGAAGAACCGGUAGUAGAAUAAUAAGCUAUUACUCUGACGGUACCACUUUAGAAAGCUCCGGCUAACUACGUGCCAGCAGCCGCGGUAAUACGUAGGGAGCGAGCGUUGUUCGGAAUCACUGGGCGUAAAGCGAACGUAGGCGGGAUUGUAAGUUAGGAGUGAAAUUUAUCGGCUCAACCGGUAAUCUGCUUUUAAUACUGCAUUUCUUGAGUAUGGGAGAGGAUGAUGGAAUUCUAGGUGUAGCGGUGGAAUGCGUAGAUAUCUAGAAGAACACCAGUUGCGAAGGCGGUCAUCUGGCCCAAUACUGACGCUGAGGUUCGAAAGCUAGGGGAGCGAACAGG